rnacentral:rRNA from 1 species
UACGGAGGGUGCAAGCGUUAUCCGGAUUCACUGGGUUUAAAGGGUGCGUAGGUGGGUUGGUAAGUCAGUGGUGAAAUCGUCCGAGCCUUAACUUGGAAACUGCCAUUGAUACUAUCAGUCUUGAAUAUUGUGGAGGUCAGCGGAAUAAUGUCAUGUAGCGGUGAAAUGCUUAGAUAUGACAUAGAACACCAAUUGCGAAGGCAGCUGGCUACACAUAAUAUUGACACUGAGGCAACGAAAGCGUGGGGAUCAAACAGG